CAUUUUUGAAAGAUCCAGAACCACCGAGAGUCAUUUCGUUAAUUCUCUGCUCAUCUCCUCCUCGUCGUUGUUCUUCAUUUCUUCCCUCAUCGCAGCUGGCUUGCAUCUUUCCUUUUCUUCUGUCAUACGUCCGCCGUUGAGCUUGCUUGUUUCUCUCCGUUGAGGAUCUACUUUGAAACGUUGCUGUGUUCAGAUCAUCGGAGCUUACUGCUGCUGCGAGAAAGCUGUUCAAGUCGACCUACUCGCUCCUUGCUCAGGCUUCACCGUUGAUUCCUUCUUCUCCCUCCUUCGGCGUCGUCUAGGUGAUAGUGAGUGGAGCUCGUCCUUCUUCCCCUCCGUUGGUCUGCCACUGUUACCGGUAAUUGUAAGGAAGGUAGCUUGAUUGGAGUUGUAAGAAAUGAAUUUUGAGUUUUGAAGAUUCCACAGGUAAGUUGAUAGCGUCCCAACUGAUAUUUCAUUAAAAUCUCUUUUAUUCAAAUAUUAC